rnacentral:lncRNA from 1 species
UAGUCAUGUAAACACCGUACUCUGUUUAUCUUAAUCGGCGUCAGGUCAAAAUCAAAGUGAAUAUACGCCUAUUAAAAUAUCUGGUUUUCUGAGCAAUCUUUCGAACACCUUAAUCGGUGUUCCUGCUGUGUAUAUGAUCUGCGCAUGUGCUAGCACCAGCCGAUCGAACCUCCCUCUUUAACACAAGAGCCAAGACUGCCUGUGAAUGUACUGUUCGGAUGUGAGAGGAACCUGUCUGACAUCUCCUCAAAGUCCCCAUCACAGUGUGCCUCCUCUGUACAAUCCAGACGACUCCCAGUUACAGCUAGCUCGGACAGAACUGAAGGAGCAAUACGACAUGGGGACAGUUUUCAAACCAUUUGAAGAUGGUGAUCUGGUUUUCAUGAAAGAUAUAUCCAAGCUGCACUGUAAACUAGCCCCACAUUGGAAGGGCCCAUGCAAAAUCCUUCAUUGGUUUGACACAGAUGGACAGCCUGGUGUCACAUAUAGGGUACUGGACUUGAAAUCACCUCAAAUUACCCCAAAAGAUAUCCAUCACAAUAGAUUGAAACAACUCUAUGGUGACAUUGCAGAGCAUCUCACACCUCCCGUAGGCAGCCACAAGAGUCAGCAAGGUUCUGUACCUUCCCAUACCCCCCACUCACUGCCCUCUCAGGAGCAUUACCAUUCCGUUACCCACUAUCUCAUGUACAUCGUUUGAGACAGGCAACCCCACUGUUAGCUACUCAUGUGAGAGUUCAAGCACUCCCCCAGGGUUCCCCCAGGGCACCGGACCUUGCCCCUGUGUCCCCUGAAACUCCUGCCCGUUCCCCUUUGCAUCAGGCUGCAACGCUUGUGGAUAUUGCUCAGGACAGUCUGUGCAGAGCCACUGUUGCUGCACCUUACACGAC